CCGAACUUCACAUUACUGCUUCCCCGGAAGAGGAGUCACGGAUCGCCACUGAUAGAUACCUGUAUCUUUAGUCUUUUUUUUACUAAAACACAAACAUUUUGUAAAGAUGCUUUUGUAAGGUUACGCCCUUUAACGCCUUUUGUUUAUUAUCAAUAAUAAAAGUGAAAGCAAAGCUGCAAGAAGCACUUUAUAUAGUUUUUCUAGCAGUCAGAAAAGUAUUGCUUGAAAAUAACGAGAAUGGCCUUUGAAGUCCGUGUCUGGCUUACUAAAACUACAAUUAGAACAAUGUCAGUUGCAACAUCAUCUGAAGAAUUUCAGAGAACCACAACAAAGGACCUGAAGAAAAAAGCAUUACAAUUUAUCCCUGGAGUAAACGAUGUUAACAGUCUGGGGAUGGUUUUUGGAAUAUAUGAUCUCGAAGACGAUAAAACACUUGCAUUUUACAAGAUAAAACAUUUGUCUAUUGUUCAAAUCGUUUUGAGAAUGCCUGGUGGGGGAGGCCCACCAGAGGAUCAAGAUGAGGGAUUUCCUAGGAGUGAGUCUAUGGAAAGAUUACAUUUGAAAAUGUAGCUCUGUUAGAUUCACUUAGGGACAAGGAGGAGCACAAAUACACAGCUUCACACGGUUCAAACAUGUGUAAACGGACUGUCUGUUCACUGCAUUGAUGGUUUGGUUUGAACUGACCUGAUUUAUGAGCGAGUGACUCCCAGAGGAGGUGUGUUAGAAAUAGAAAGACAAAAUUCAUUCUAGGGAGGAAAAUACAACAUAUAGCUGUUAUUUGUCAGUGUGUCACAUACGUGGGUGUGAAAAAAAGGAAAAAAGUGAAAGUGACAUUAGUCAGGUAUAGUGACCCAUACCCGAAAUGUGACCUUUUAUGUGCGUUUAACCUAUACAGUGAGUAAUGAACACACGCACAGCAAGUGGUGAACACACUUACACAUGGAGCAGUGGGCAGCUAUCACUGCAGCGCCCGGGGAGCAGGGGCACCUCAGUCAUUGCCCGCCAGCCCUGAGGAUCGAACCGGCAACCUUCUGGUCACAAGUCCCACUCUCUAACCAUUAAGCCACGACUGUCCCUUAAAGUGUGUGUAGCAUUGUGUUACCCGGACAGGGAUUAGAUUACGCAUAUGAACUACAGCCAUUUUGUAAAGGCUUUUUAAUAUUUAUGCACUGGAGGAAGUGCCUCGGAUUUCUUGUGAAAUACAAGAAUAGAAACCCUACCAAAGAGCACCUUCUGGGAUUACUUAACAAGUUUACUUCACAAGCAACGCUCCUGGAUGAUUUGAUUAGUUUUUACAUUUAUGCGUCUCAAAAAAACAUUGUUUGUGUGCACCUUGAGACAAAACAAUGGCACUGAUUUAUUUUUGUUUAAACAGUUCUAAUAUUUAUUAUAGUCUAGGACAAGUCUUAUUCCCGGAAACCACCCCUUUGUUUUCUUUAAUCGCUGUGAUAUCUGAGUGUGUUUUAGGGGCAUGUUGUCAUUUGCAGCUGAAACUGAAAGCAACAACAGUAGAAAAGGAACUGUAGGAACUGCUCAACAGCAAAGAAACUAGACUCAGUUUAUAUGAACCUGUGAUAACUGUAUGAACAGUUGUAACAUAUGCACAGUCUAUGUGAGCUGAACUGUGGAUCAGUUUUCUUUGCUUUGAAAGAUGUCGUCAUUUAAUGCAUUUUGUUCCAAUGUACAAGAAUACUUUUCUCACUUAGACACAAACUCUACCAAAACUUUAUGGGGCGGUUUCCCAGACAAGGAUUAGAUUAAGACAGGACUAGGCCUUAGUUAAAUUGGGAUAAUUAAGUUGUUUUAAAAAACAUACUUAAAAAAACUUCAUAUAUUUUAAGAUAUGUUAGUGCAAGUUGUUUUUGAUCUAGGCAUCUCUCACAUUUAAGUUAGUCUGAGACUAGACUUAAGCCCUGUCUGGGAAACCGCCCCUAAAUACUAUAAAAGCCAAUAUGCAAAUGCUUACAUACUCUUUUCAAAACUGUUAAACUUAAGUUCAAAACUUACCACAAUACCAAAAUGAAUAAGACAGAAAUGUGCAACAUUUCUACAGUAAUACUAUAUUGAAAUAUAUCCUGAUUUUAGAAAAUUAAAUACUAUCAAAGCAGUUAGAUUUAACUCGACACUUUUUCACAUUACCAUAAAUCCAAACAAGUCAACGUGUGGGAAUAAUUGUGUACUGUAGUGUAAACACACACCAUGUGCAGUGAAUUGUAAGAGUCUCAUUCCUGUUUUGUAAAGAAACAAUGAAUAAUGUUACUGUUCUUGUCAUGUUUCUUACAGUAGGGUGUUUUAUGACUGGGAAUAUGACUUAUGAAUGUGUGUUUGUUUCAAUUUUAAGGAUUCUUAUUUUUCAAGCUACUAUCACACUUUAUCCAUAGACAACAGCAUGGUGUUUAUUUAUUAAAUAAAGUGUCUUAUUGAGUCCUGUGUGUUCUAUUCUUAAACACGAGAGCACUACUUCUUCCCUUCGAUUUUUCCCCAUGAAAUUUCAAAUACCAAUAUACUUCUUAAUAUUAUAUACUGUAAAUGUCUUCCUGAACUGUUUGUAUCCUAAUAAUUCUGCCAUAUUUUUUGAGAAUAUUCUUUUAUAAUUGUUUUUGCCUCACCUUUACUUAAUAAAACUUUCAUUUCUAUUAUUUGUGACUUAAUGGAUACUUUGGCUAACUUAUCUACUACUUCAUUAUCCUACAUGUGCAGGACCCCUAAUAAAAGAUACCUUCAGAUCCAUAUUAUGUAAUCUCUUUAUAAUUUGAUAUACUUCAUUUAAUACAUCUAUCCUACAUGGUUUCCCUGUUUUAAUACUGGAUAAUGCUGACAUACUGUCUGAUGCAAUGAAAACAUUAUUUUCCUUCUUUUCUUCAAUCCACUUUAAUCCUAUCAUUAUUGCGACCAGUUCUACUGUAUAUACAGAAAGAUGAUCUGCUGUCCUUUUUUUAAUGUUGUAUUUAGGAAUAUAUACUGCAUGUCCUGUAUUCCCAUUCUUUGGAUUUUUUUAACCAUCUGUAAACUCUGUUGUAUAUUUCCUUUCCAUAAAAUGUUUAA